UCAACACACAAAACUAAAUUCUGCGGCCAAUGUCGUCACACUUUCCUUCUUAACUGUUUGAGAGCAUCAUAAGUCCAAGGUUUUUCAAUUCGUCUUCAAUUUCUUCCCCCUUAAAACCAUUCUUGAGUCCAAAAGAGGAAGAUCAAUUUAGAUGAAUCGAGUAUUAUUUAUUCACUCUCUUUAUAAAGGCGAGAUCUCCAUAGCUUCUGUUUCCUUCGGUCUUCAAGGUAUGUAUUUAUUUGGCUUCUUUAAUUUUCUUUUUCUUUUUCUUAGUUAUAUAAGUGUCUGUCUUUUAUGAUUUAUAUUCACAUUGAUGAUGAAUCAUAUAUAUAAAUUAAAAAGAAAACUAAGCAAGUAUUGAAGCAGCUAGCCAUAUCUUAAUCUUGUACCGCCUUCUUUUUACUAUAAGGGUUUUUAUUUUUAUUUUCAUUUCUAUCGAGUAUUAGUUUAAAUAAAAAAAGGUAUAAGUCUAUGAAAGUGUAAUUCCCAUGGUAUCCAUAAAAUAGUAGAUUGAAUGUGGAUUAGUGUCAGAUCCGCAUCAAAUCUGCAGUGCAACGCAUGGAUUUAAUCCAUCCAUAAAAUGGUGAAUUUUUGUAUAUAAUCCACAAAAUCGGGCAAUGUGGGACCACAUACAAUCCGAUAUUUUACAAAUUUGGAAAGUGCAGGAAAUUCUUUGUAAGGAUAAUUUUGUGGGCGUCAUUAAUAAAAUCAUUGUAUUUAGAAAUGGCACAACCAAGUUAAUUAUGAUGUUACCAAAUAGGGUUAAUACUUGAAAAAAAAAUAAAUAAAAUGAUUAUGGGGCUGUCGAAGGAGCAUAGCAAGUGAUUGUUGCUCAAAUUUGUUUGUCCUUAUCUUUUAUCUGAAGCGGCGUAUAAAUCUGGAUUCUCUUACUAUUAUACCUUUGGGACAAAACUAUUGUUACUUUGUGGGUUCUUCAAAUUAAUAUUUCUUGCUUUUUAAAUCAUUUUUGGAUGCUGGUGAGGAAGAUGAUAGAGAGAAUGGAGUACCAAUAUUUCACUCUCUUUAUAAGAAGUAAUCACCUCACGGUAUGUUUAUUUAUCUAGCAUUUAUUUGUUUAUUUUCUUUCCUUUAAUCACAUAAUCGUUAUUGCACUUUAAUGGCUAAAAUAGAACAUUUUAAAAUUAUUUCUUUGGCUAAAAUAGAACAUUCUAUUUCUUUGGUGUUGUUGUAAUAGAAAAUGAUAAAUGACAUACAUACAUACAUACACACACACACACAUAUGAAAAUUUCUAAUUUGAGAAUUCAAGAUUAAAUUAAAGUCUGGGAAGAGUUGGUAGUGAUGUAAAUGGAUUUUUACGUUGUUUUAAAUAUGUCUUGAAUUUUAAUGAAGUCUGGGAUUCUCAUAUUGGAAGUUAAACUAUAUAUUUAUAAAAGUAUAUACAUUGUUUUUCUCUAAUAAAAUGGUUGAAUGACAUUUUUCUUAAAUAAUGUAUAAUUAAAAAAUAAAAAAUUUACUUUGGAGAUCAUUUAUGAAGAUAUACAAUAAUGAGUAUUUUAUUAUACCUAAAAGAAGAACGAAUGAGGUCCAUCGAAUUACUGUAAACAAGCAUUCACAUUUUGCAAAUAUAUGAGCAUCCUUAUUAGAGAAGAAUUUGGGUUGAGUGUGUGUGUGUGUGUGCGCGCGUAUAUAUAUAUAUAUAUAUAUCUGCAUGUUAAAAUCAUUUAGACAAAAAAAAAAAAAUGAACUCCAAUACACUAGAAGGUAAAAAUAAUGCUUUUUGGUCAGUAUUUGUUUUUUGUCUUUUCGCUCAAUUUGUAUUUCAAAAUCAUUUAGAGGUCUGAACCUAAGCAAAACAUUGAGUUCUAAUAUUAGUCUGUAUUUGCAGAACCCAAUAACCAUUUUUUGUUUUGGUUGUAUUAAGUGGAAUGACUCCACUCCUAAUUGUUAAAUCCUAUUAUAUUUUAAAAGCGAAAAGAAAGCAAACAAUUGUCACGAUUUUGGCCAACAUAUAAUAGUUGUUUCCCUUUCUCUUUGGUUUAGCGAAGAAUAUAAUAAGAAUAAAUAAUUAGAAGUGAGGUCAUUCCAUAUAAUGCAGCAAGAUUGCUAAUAUUUGAAGUCCUCAUUUUAUUUACGAAAAAAAGGAUCACUUAAUGGGAAGCUCACUAUAUAUAUAGUGAGAGAGAAAGAGAGAGAGAGAGUUAUUAUCUGGUGAGUUUCUCGCACUUUAAUAAAGUAACAUAUGAGCUGAAAUACAAGAAAAGCACGUGUCAAUGCAUCAUAUUUUGUCUUGUAGUGUAUUUAAAUUUGUGUUUUUAUAUUUUUUAGAUUAUACCUUAUCAUAUUAAAGUAAAGGGAGCCCCUAAGUUACAUUUAAUGUAACUUACACCACUCACAUGAACAGUGCGUGGUGUGGGGCCUACGCACUGUUCAUGUGAGUGGAUGUAAGUUACAUUAAAUGUAACUUAACAUUUGCCUAAAGUAAAGGAUCAUCAUAAGAAGUGCAAUCUACACACGUGCGCGCAUGCAUGUACAUAGGGAAAUUUCCAAUUCAUGAUUCUCGAAUGAGCCACUAAUUGAAAUCCAAAGAUCCAAAACUUUCUUUUUUUUAAUAUUUUGUUGGCUCCAACACGUGCAACAACAUAUGCAGCCGAAUGAUAACCUUUGGAUUUAAAUAUUUUGUUCUUAGAUGCUUUUUCAAUCUAGGAACAAAAUGGUGGUCUUUGAAUCCAAAGGCUAACAUUUGGCUGCACAUGGUCUCUUAGAUGCUUUUCCAAUCUAGGAACAAAAUGGUGGUCUUUGAAUCCAAAGGCUAACAUUUGGCUGCACAUGGUAGACCAUGUGCAGCCAACCAAAUGGAAGAAAAAUGAAAAAAAGGGGUUUGGAAUCCAACGGUCCAUCCGGGAAUCCUUGAUCGAAAAAUUCCCCAUAUAGAUGUUACAAUCUGGGGAUCUUGGGUGUAUAUAUAUAAUUUGGGGAUCUUGGGUAUAUAUAUAUAUAUAUCACGCCAAGGUGCGGACAUCUGCAUCAAUUUUCAUGCACAACCUUUUAUAGAGUUGUAAAAUAGUUUACAAUGUUAUUUAGUAUAAAGAUGCGCGUUUGCACAAAAUUUCAUGCUAUCAUCUGUGAUCACUCUGUAUUUAUAGAAUAAUGCCUGGAAUCAAGUGAGUAAGGUUCAUUUCAGUUGUUAUUAUUAGUGAUUAAUUUUUUUUUGAUAAUUAUGUGAAUUAUUAUUAUUACUCCUUGAAUUUUAAUUUUUGGGCCUAAGAGUUAAAGCUUUCUGCGCCUAGUGAUUUUAUUUUUUUGGGUAGUUCUAAAACCCAAUAAGAAUUAGGUCUUCUUUUAUUGUAAGGUGGUAGACUUUCUUUCUUACAAAAAUUAGUUUUAGAGACUGCUCACAGAAUGAAGAUUCUUGGAAAAGGUUAUGAGGGAAAGAGAGUAAAGAGGUAUUUUUUUUUAAUAUCUCAAUUUACUUGUUAAGUUUACUGUAAGGUGGCUAAACUUUCUUUCUCACAAAAAUAUGUCGUGGGAUAUAUCUAUGUUAUAGAAUGAACUUAUGAGAGGACGAUUUAGUUUGAUAAAGAUCAGUUUUGACUUAUUGUGUUCUUUUAAGAAACAGUAAGGAAUAAUUAAGUUUUUUCGAGGUUUUGUGUACAUAUGAUAGUGACCUACUCCAAAACGAUUUAAAAUAAUGCAUUUUUUUUUGUGCAAAUAUGUAUGUUUUUGUACUGAAACUAGACAUUGUAAGGUCUCUUAGAAUUUUUUAAAUUCAAAUAUACUUAAAUUCGAAUUUUAAUGGAUUUUUGAAUCAUACAAUUCGAUAUUAAAAAUUUACGGUUUCUGUAACGUUGCCAAAUGAUGAAAAACUUUUGACCAAUCAAACCUUCUUUAAAAAUCAUGUACUUUUGCAGAUGGACCUUUUUACACGGCAUAUUAGAUACUGAGGUCUUAGUUCCUCGUUUCUAGUUAAUAUGAAUUAACGAGUGAAAGGGACUUAAUUUGGGAUUUUUUUUAUGGCAUGAUUAAAUGGCCUAAAAAUCAAGCUUAUUUUUAAUAGAUUUUGAAUGCAAUUUGCCUUGAAAUUUUACUGUAUACCUUUAUGUGCCUAUAUGAUCCCUAUGAAAUUUCAUAAAUAUUGGAUAUUGAUUUUUUUUUCUUAUUAAAAAUCUGAGAUUGAGGAUUGGUUAGUAACUUUUUCUGUUAUAAGGAGAAUGGAAAGCAAGAUUUGUGAUAUUACUUGAAAUUGUUUCUUAAAGACAUAGGAGCUGAGAAUUUUAUGUGAUAUUUUUAGUUGUAUCAUGAAUAUCAUCUAAGGUAUUAAACAAAAAUAAAUAAAUAAGUGCUAAGGGUGAUAAGCAUGUUGAAACAAGGAAAUUAUCUUGUAAAGUAAAUUUGGACUCGUUUAUCAUUAUUAAGACCCAUAGUGCUUAAUAGUUUAUUGUUACAUUUUCACAGGAGAUUAGUCUUUGAUGUUCAGUUAUGAUGAGUAUGUUUAUUGUUGUGACUGCCAAGAGUAAUCUUUGAUGUUCAAUUACGGUGACUAGGUUUAUUGUUGUGACCGCCAAGAAGUAAAUAAGCUAAACUUUUAACUACAUUCACUUUGAACAUGUGUGUGUGUGUGAGUGUGUCUUAAAGAGGUUUUUUUUUUAAUGUUUAUUAUAAGAUUUGUGAUACAGAUAUGUGAUUAAGUGUUUGUUUUAUCCAUUAGAAUAGGCAUGUAUGAUGUUAUGUUAGGAAUUGCAUUCAAAGUAAUGUAUGAAGCAAAUUUUUCCGUGCAAAAUAUCUUGUGUUCUAGGAUGCCCAACAUAUUCUUUUAAUUGUCCAUUUGUGUGUUUAUUUGGAGUGUUAGUUAUAAUUUAAUAAUCAAAAUGUAUGACAGUGAUAAUUUACAUUGAUUAUGAUAUAGUAGAGAUGGAUUUGUCAAAGCCAAAUCAUUUGAACCAAAACUCAAACUAAACCCAAAGUAAAUUAGGUGGAUUGUUUUUUGGUUUCGGUAGUAACAAGUGUAGGGUUGCUUGGAUUGAAACCCAGACUAAUUUGCCUAGAAUUUCUAAUAAUUAAGAUUUUUUUUUUGAAUUUUGAAACAUUUGAGUGACAAAAUACUAUGUGCAUAUUAUAAUUUUAUUAGUUAGUUGUACUACAAAGUAUAGAAGUUCUCAAUAUUUUGCACAAUUGCUAGACACCAUGCUUUUUAAUUUCCAAUUACAAAUUAUUCAAGCCGAAGAUGCCCAGCUGGCCAAGAUUAAUUCAAUGAAUUUGGAGAGCACAAAUCUCAAAAUUAUUGUACCAUUACCAUUUGAGUUGCCUGUCAAUUAAAUAAUACUAGUGGUAACCUCAGUUUUCAAUUACAAAUUACUAACACAAAACAAGUAAAUUUUAGCCACAAGCAUAAACCGGGUCUAUGCAAUUUUGGAAACCACUCAGAAACUUUAUUAUUACUCUUUUGUUGUUGUUGCAACUUGAUCAUCAUCAACUGCUCAGCUUAUUGUUGCAUACACUGCAAAUUCUUUGUUCAUGGGUUCUGUCUAAACAUGUCCAAAGAAAUCACCAUCAUCCUCUUCACAAACUACACCCUCUUUUUGAAUACUUUGGCGAACAACGAGUCCAAGACUUGUAAUGUCUGUGAUGAAUUAAUUGAAGGCAUCAGCUUACGCUGUAAUAAUGCUACAGAUUGUGAAUUUUAUUAUCAUGUUGCCUGUUGAUACCCCUACACAAGAAGCUUGAAACACAAGUCUCACUGAUGAUCAUGAUUUGGUAUAUUUUAUGAAGAACAAUGCUCUGUUUUAAGUGUUUCGAAUAUGCAAGCGCCACGUUUACUGUGAAGAUUCAUUCUGUAGGUUUAGUAAGUGUAAUUGGAAUGUUCGUAUUGAAUUUAUUCCUCUGCUGCUUGUUGUAAGACAUUAAAGUUACCAAUUGCAUCAUCUUAUGCUUACGGAUUGUGUAAAAGUUUAUGUGUGUAAACAGGAAGAACUCCUAAGGAUCAUGUUUAUCACCGUGGGGAAUGCGGCUUCCUUGCUCAUACUGAAUGCAUCAUAUGUGAGGUAAGUUAACUUUCACCUACAUUUUACCUCAUAAAUUAGGAAUUUAGUGAUUCAAAAUUGUGUUAUUGCUGAAUAUGUUCUGCUUGGCUCAAUAAUUGAAGUAAAUCUAUGAAUAUGUUGUAACAACGCAAGUUUUUAUUAUUGGUAACAAUUUUGUCAUUUACACUCCUCAAAUGUUGCGUAAGAUGACAGGUGUAACCCAAAAAAGAGAAAUUUAUCUUUAAUUAUAGAGCAAUGCUAACUAGCCAAAAUAACGACAGAGGGAAGACAGAAACGGCAGCACAUGUUGCCGUUUCCUGUCCUCUCUCUCUUCUGUUAUGGGCCCACAAUAAAUUUAGAAAAAUGAAUAUAUAAUGGCGCAUAUGCGUGAAUAAAGUGAAAACAUUUUUUUCUGCUACUGGACAAGAGUUUUAACACUCCAUAAUGAUUAAAGUGGGAGGCAAAAUCGAGUUAUUUACCACAACUAAUAUCUGCAUUUCUAGUCCUGCAUUUGAUCGAUUUCAAUAACAUAAAAAAAAGAAAAUCUACAAAAUCUCAAUCUGUUGGCUCCGUGCUGUGUCGAGGGCAAAGGAAAAUCUUCAAGGUUGGUUGGCCUGGUCAUGACAAAAGAAAACCUGCAAGGUUGCCGUGGGUAUAGCUUUUAUCACGGGAAAAAAAAAAACGCAAACAAAUCGUUUGCUCGAUGUAAAAAUAGCUAGUUCUGUGUGAUGGUGGGUGUAACUUUUGUCAAUAAGAGAUAAGAUUGCAGCAGCUUUGAUAUACUUCUCGGACUUCUCUUUUGUUUUGUUUUUUAAUUAAUAUUUACCUUUUUUUAAAAGUAAUUGUGGGCCCAUGAAGAGGAAAUGAUAAGUGAACAAAACGACAGCAAGUGAUUGUCUUUUUUUCUUCCCUCUGUCGUGACUAUGUUCACUUAUCAUUUUCCUUAAUUAUAUAGGCAAAGAAAACUGUGCCUACAUGGGUUCUGUUUAAGGAUGGCAAAAACUAGGUCCAGGUUCAGCCUUUCUGGUUCCGGACUCAUAUGCCAAUUUGUCUUCUUGGAUUUGGAUUAGAACCCAGAUUUUUUAACUGCGGGUCCGAAGCGGGUUCAACUCGGAAAAAGUUCGGGUUCCCGGAUUCUGGAUCUUAAACUCGAGUUGUUGGGUGAAGGGAGGAAGAUGAAUUCUCCAAGCAUGCUACUUUUGGCUCUUUGGAAUUUGCAGAAACACUAAAAGGUAGAACAAAUUUAUGAGAUCUCAACUAAAUUUACUUACAUCAAUAAUAAAACUUUACUAUUAUAUCGAUAUUCUGUGUUUAAAUUCUGUAUUUGGCUACUCACAACAACAAAAACUUCAAUAAUUACCGAAGCGUCGACAAAAAGAGGCUAGUGGUUUCUUUGAGAUAUCGACUGAGGCACUGGGGUGGCGGCUAGUGUGGGGCUUUAGGGUUUGUUCAACGUUUUUGUUUUUUGUAACUUUUUGCUUUAUAUUUAUAUUUUAUAAUAAAAAUUAAUUAAUUAAUAAAUCAUAAAAUUCGGGUCUGGUUUUCGGAUAUCCGGGUUUAGCUGAACCCAGAACUCAAUCCGGAAACAUCCAAGUUUUAAAAAGGCUUUCAGAUUUCGCAUUUUUAUACAUCCGGACCGGGUUGAACUCAGACCGAAUCAUUCGAGUUUGUUCGAGUCAGGUCUGGAAAAAUUUGCCAUCCCUAGUCAUGUUAAUAAGAGAAUAACAUCAAAGAAUAACAACAUAAAUGAAUUGCUGAAGCCUAGAGCUUUAUGAAGUGGGAAAAUGAUAAGUGAACAUAGCCACAACAGAAGGAAGAUAGAAACGGUAGUCACUUGUUGUCGUUUCGUUCACUUAUCGUUUCCUCUUCAUGGGUCCACAGUUAUUUUAAAAAAAGUAAAUAUUAAUUAAAAAAUAAAACAAAAGAGAAGCCCGAGAAGGAUAUCAUAGCUGCUGCAAUCUUAUUUCUUCUAUACUUUUUCUCUACCCUAUCUCUUAUUAACAAAAGCUAUACCUACCAUCACACAGAAUCAACUAUUUUUACUUCGAAGCAAAUGAUUUGUUGGUGGUUUUCUUUUGCCGUGACAAAACCUAUACCCACGACAAUCUUGCAGUUUUCUUUUGCUGUGACCACGCCAACCAACCUUGUAGAUUUUCCCUUGCCCCCGGCACAGCACAGAGCCAACAUAUUGCAGAUUUUUUAUUACAUUUUUUUUAUGUUUAUUGAAAUUGUGCAAAUGCAGGGCUGGAAAUGCAGAUAUCAAUUGUGGUAAACAACUUGAUUUUGCCUUCCACUUUAAUCAUUAUGGAGUGUUAAAACUCUUGUCCAAUAGUAGGAAUUUUUUUUUUUCACUUUAUUAAUGCAUGUGCGCUAUUAUAUAUUCAUUUUUUUUAAACUUACUGUGGGCUCAUAACAAAAGAAGAGGACAAGAAACGGCAGCACAUGUUGCCGUUUAGCAACUUUUGUGUUAAAAUAGUUUAACAACUGUUAUUAGUUGUUUAAGUGCUGCACAGAUUGCUGCAUAAAGUAAUCAUCUCGAGACAUUAAGCUUGCUUUUUCAGACUUAAUAUUACAGUAGCCUUUUUCACACCUCUUCAAAAUUCUUAUAGAACUCUUUAUUAAUUGAAAGUAUUUAAAUAAUUAAAGAUAAUUUUUUUGUUGUUUUGGAAUGAAAAUCCAAUUAAACAGUUAAAUAAAUUAUUCUUACAACAAAUAUUUUAGGUAGAAGAACACAUAUGUUUCCAAGGUUUAGAGAUGCUCAUGUAACAAUAGAAAUAGAAAUAUAAUAUUAAAAUAAAUGUAUUAAUAUAUACAUUUUAAAAAAUUCAAUAUUUAAAAAAUAUUUUAGUACUUUAUAAUCUUGUAUUAUAUUAACUAAAUUUUAUAAUACAUAGAAGCAUAAUAUUAAAACAAAUAUAUAAAAAUUUAAAUUAUUUUAAAUAUUGUAUAAAAUUAUUUUAAUAUUAUUAAUGCAUGAGAUAUAUUUUAUUAAUUAUAAAAUUUAUUUAAAACUGUUAUAACAAAUAUAAAUAUAUUAUAUUAAAAUAAAUAUGACAAUUUUAAGAUUUUUUAAAAAUUUUAUUUUAUAAAUAAAAAAUAUUAUGAUAUUAUUAGUUUAUUUAAAAUCAAUCUUUUUAGUUACUAUUUAGUGAGGGUAUUAUAGUAAAAAUAAAAAGAUUUAGAUGUUCGUUAUUGAAAACUUGGAGCCUACAUAACAAUUUCCUUAAGUUUUGGGAUAGAUAUCCAUUUCCCAAUAUUUUAUACCCGUUUUAUUUGAUUAUUUAUAUUUAAAAUUAAAAAAAUAUGUUUUUGAGAAACUUUUAAGAGUUUAGAGUUAUAGAGAUAGAAAUUCUGUAAUAAAAAGAAAAUAAUUUAAAAUUUUAGGAUUUGUCUAUAUUUUACAAAUAAAAACUUAAAAGAAAUCUCUUUUUACAAUUAAAUUUAAUGACAAGUUAAUUGACUUAAAUUUAUAUGUUAAUAUUAAUAUUUUUAAAUUGAAUUAGGGGUAUUUUAAGGAAUAAAGUUUAAAAAGGGAGUCUUCAUAAGGAUUUCCGAGAGAUGUUAAAAGCCCUAUUCUUGUUAUUAUUGUUUAACCUGUAACCAUUAUUUUAUUGAUAAAAUAAAUAUCUUCUCGUAUAUUCUAUUUGUAGGAGUAAAUUUUUAAAUUAAUCUCAGCAGAAUUUGAGGUUUUACGUACUACAAGAUAUAUUUAUGUAGAAUCUCAAUAUAUUUUUAGGUUUUACGCAUUCAUAUAGAAAAAAAAGUUUAAGCAAAUUCUCUUAAACCCUAAUCUUUAAUUUUUUUUUUUCUCUCUUGUUACCAACCAAACUAGGACAUUUUCUUCUCUACCAUAGUUAGUUAGUUACUAUGAGCCAGCCAACUGCCAAAUAAAAAGGAAUCUCUGUCUGACAUUUUUAGAUAUCAGAAUUUUAUUGCCAUCAAUCUGGAGACCAUAACACAUGGAUGUCACAGACUCAUAUUCAUAAUACAUUUGUUUUUUAGGAACAUACAUAAACUCCAUUAGGAUACAGUAGAAUUAGAAUACAAUGUAAAAAUAUUUCGGCAUCUCUUCACAGUUCAUCUAUUACAGUAUCCAGAUAGUCAAAUCAUUGUAUUUUCUCUUUAAAAUACACAAAUCUGAUUUAAGACCAACUGGAAAACUGAACAAAAUAAAAAUAAAUAAAUAAGCAAAAAAAGAUUUUCGCUGGAAAAACAACUCAAGAAGAUGUGUUUGUUGUAGAUGGGAGCAUACUCACUCCGUUUGUUCAAUUUUAUAUAAUGUUGGAAUGUUAAUGAAAAGAACUUAGCUAAAAGUAUUUUUACUACUUUAGCUUAACACAAGCAAGUCAUAUUUUUAGCUCAGUAAAGCCAUCAAAUAUAUGAAUAAAUGGUCAUCACCUUCGAGGGUCUACUGAUUUUCAUAUAAUUUUAUUUGAUUAGUUAUUAAAAUUUAAAUUUUAAAAUAAAAAAUUUGAAUUUAUUAACAGAAAUAAGAAAAAAAGUCAUUUUUUUUUAAAAAAAAAUUAUUAUAUUUGUCUUUCCCCUUAUAUAUAUUUUUUGCUGAGCUUUCUUUGUCUAGCCAGGCAGCCGCUCCCUUUCUUGGUGGGAGCCUCUAAGUUACAAUAAUUGUAACAUACAUCCCUCAUGUAAACCACACAAAAUUAUAGGACCCACAAUUUGUGUGGUUCACAUGAGAGAUGUAUGUUACAAUUAUUGUAACUUAACAUUUGCUGUUUCUUGGCCACUUGCAAUCGUCCUCCUGAAUUUAAAUAAAUAUCAAUUAUUUCCCGCCACUGCCUUGGCCUGGUGAUAGACGAGAGCACUAGUUCCAAUCCAAUCCAAUCAUGGGGGACUCAAUAAAAUUUCCCUCUUAGCAAUGUGGGUAAAGAUGUGUAUAUUUUCUCAAAUUUUAGUGUAUGAAUUCACAUCCUUAGUAUAUCCAAAUUGUAAUAACUGUACUUGUAAUAAUUUAAAAAAAAAAGGAUAUCAAAGUAUUUGUAAAGAAAUAUUUACUUUAACUUUGAAUAAAAAUGUUACUGCAUCU
rnacentral:lncRNA from 1 species